rnacentral:miRNA from 1 species
CCCGCCCGACCGCCUCGCCCAA